GAGCUCACUUCAACAGCACACGUAUUAAAUUGGAAUGAUACAGAGAAGAUUAGCAUGGCCCCUGCGCAAGGAUGUCACACAAAUUCGUGACGCGUUCCAUUUUUUU
ensembl:snRNA U6 U6 spliceosomal RNA